rnacentral:rRNA from 1 species
AACGCCGGCGGCGCGCUCAACACACGCAAGUCCGAAACGAAUGAAGCCGGCGCUGCACCGUGGAUUCAGCGGCGAAACGGGCGAGUAAUACGCGAGUCGACCUACCUUUGACUCUGGGAUAAGCCUGGGAAACUGGGUCUAAUACCGGAUACGACCAAUCUCUGCAUGGGGUGUUUGGUGGAAAGCGUUAUGGAGUGGUUUUAGAUGGGCUCACGGCCUAUCAGCUUGUUGGUGAGGUAAUGGCUUACCAAGGCGACGACGGGUAGCCGGCCUGAGAGGGUGACCGGCCACACUGGGACUGAGACACGGCCCAGACUCCUACGGGAGGCAGCAGUGGGGAAUAUUGCACAAUGGGCGCAAGCCUGAUGCAGCGACGCCGCGUGAGGGAUGACGGCCUUCGGGUUGUAAACCUCUGUUAGCAUCGAAGAAGCGAAAGUGACGGUAGGUGCAGAGAAAGCGCCGGCUAACUACGUGCCAGCAGCCGCGGUAAUACGUAGGGCGCGAGCGUUGUCCGGAAUUAUUGGGCGUAAAGAGCUUGUAGGCGGUUGGUCGCGUCUGCUGUGAAAGGCCGGGGCUUAACUCCGGUUUUGCAGUGGGUACGGGCUAACUAGAGUGCAGUAGGGGAGACUGGAAUUCCUGGUGUAGCGGUGGAAUGCACAGAUAUCAGGAGGAACACCGAUGGCGAAGGCAGGUCUCUGGGCUGUAACUGACGCUGAGAAGCGAAAGCAUGGGGAGCGAACAGGAUUAGAUACCCUGGUAGUCCAUGCCGUAAACGUUGGGCACUAGGUGUGGGGGACAUUCCACGUUUUCCGCGCCGUAGCUAACGCAUUAAGUGCCCCGCCUGGGGAGUACGGCCGCAAGGCUAAAACUCAAAGGAAUUGACGGGGGCCCGCACAAGCGGCGGAGCAUGCGGAUUAAUUCGAUGCAACGCGAAGAACCUUACCAAGGCUUGACAUGCAUUAGAUCGCGUCAGAGAUGGCGUUUCCCUUCGGGGCUGGUGUACAGGUGGUGCAUGGUUGUCGUCAGCUCGUGUCGUGAGAUGUUGGGUUAAGUCCCGCAACGAGCGCAACCCUCGUUCUAUGUUGCCAGCGGUUCGGCCGGGGACUCAUAGGAGACUGCCGGGGUCAACUCGGAGGAAGGUGGGGAUGACGUCAAAUCAUCAUGCCCCUUAUGUCUUGGGCUUCACGCAUGCUACAAUGGCCGGUACAGAGGGUUGCGAUACUGUGAGGUGGAGCUAAUCCCUUAAAGCCGGUCUCAGUUCGGAUUGGGGUCUGCAACUCGACCCCAUGAAGUCGGAGUCGCUAGUAAUCGCAGAUCAGCAACGCUGCGGUGAAUACGUUCCCGGGCCUUGCACACACCGCCCGUC